UACAGGCUAGUUGGUUUUACAAAGUUCAAUGUACAUGUACAUAGUACUAAACUUAGCCUAGCUAAAGACCUGUUUUUCCUCCAGGUCUAUGCUUGAUGUAAAUCUGUAGGAACGUGCAGCUGUAGGUUAUAGGCUUGCUGCUUCGUUGGAGACGAGCUCGAUGCAUAUGGAUCAACGGAUGGUCAAGCAGUGGGAGGAGAGAGUUACAAAGUGGCAGACUUCUGACAAGGGUAGGAACAGACAUCCCAAUGACGACGAUAUUAUGCAACUAAGGGUGUUCCUGAGAGAACUUCACCGUCGGCUAGUGGAAUGGGGUCGACCGUCGGUCGUGCUGCAGAACCUCCCGAACGUCGGCAGACUUCUGGGACGUCUGUGUAGCAUUGAGGUCCUCAGAAUGCAAGAGGCCGACUACCAGUUGGUACUGCAGUGUGUGCUAGCUCUCUAUGUUAGUCAACCAAGCGAGCAGCUGGAAGAGAAGGCUAUCAAGUGGGCCCAGUCUCAAGUCAGGCACAGCGUCUCUUACUAUAAGGAGAGAAAUCCAUGUCGCGGCAUCGCAGAGUCAGUUGGUUGCUCUACAAGUCGCUUCAACCACACCGCAUCUCUCAAGCUUUUAGAAUCGAUUGUCGAAGAUUUGAACAAAGUACCCACGACCUGCUGGGAUCCGUACACUAAUUGCCUGGUCCCCUACACCCAGCUCUCUGGGACUGCACUGACAGAUCUGUCCGAGCUCUGCCUCCCGCUGGUCACCGGCAGCUGUGAUGUGUCGCCGCUGGUUGAGUGCCUGCUGAGUUGCCACGGAAACAGUGCGAGGGAAGCCCUGAGCCCGGCAUUCCUUGAAGCUGUGACAAAAUCUCAGGAGCAUGCAUACGCGUGCCAGUGCUCUCUUGAAUUGAGCCAUGAAGGCUACGUCUCUCUCUGGACCAGGUACCUUCCUGCUUUGGAGAGCGAGGUUCUGCACCUUAUACAGGCUGUGGUCCCUCUGUUACCUUCGUCGGAGCUCAGAGCCCAGAUUUUAAUGUCCAGCAGAGGCCUGCCGAGGGCGUGUGCCGAAAAUCCAUCCUUACUCACUGGCGCGGAGAAACUGAUGGAAUUGCUGCUACACCACACAGGGGGGAGCGCCUCUGUGCUGACCACAAUGGACUUGUUCCAUAGAUGCGUGAAGGAGAGUCGGGGAACCAUACCACCUGUCCUUCAUUGUCGUAACAGCUGGCCAGCCUUAGACAGCUUGCGCAACCUGCUGCAAGCAGACCCACAGGAUUUACCGACCAGGCUGCUAGUCCUUCACAUCAAGAAUCUCAGCAACUGUCUGACUCGGCACGUGGUGACUGACCCCGUCAGCAGGUUCCAAGCCUGGCUGUUGCUGGCUAGGUCCCGAGUCUGGCACCGGGCAGUCUUGAAGAUGUCGCUGCUCGGUCCAGCAGGCGGCGUGCCUGCGUGUCUCCAAGUGCUCGUCUGGUACAACUCGCCGCUGGUUCCCGACAGACACAAGGAGUACCAGGAUCGGCUGGGUGAGCUCAUCACUUCACUGCGAGGUCUCUGCUACCAGGCCGUCCUACAACCCCACGACCUGCAGUGCGCAUUCAGCGCCUACCGCGGUCAAGGCAACCUCUUAUGCAACAUCGUCAAACCCCUUCUGAUGUUCUUCUCAGUGUACGGGAACGUGACACGUCACGUCUUGCCGGACAUUGUCGAAAAGGCCACUGGUGAAAAUCAACCAAGCUGUGCAACAAAGUUCCGAUUCUUUUUGGACUGCAUUGAAUUUGCCCUGGUGCCCGACGGACCGCAUGCCCUCAGCAAGCGGGUCCGGGGAUCCCCCAGUCGUCAGGGAAAGAAGAGUGCAGCUCCCGCCCUUUCCCUGUUCGCCGAGGUUUUUGAGGAGUACCGCCGAGAACGGCUGGUUGGAGCUUUGAGGUUACCGGAAGAGCUGCAUCUUGGCCUGAUGGGCAGAUAUGACAGAGUGAAGCAACUGCUCCUGUGAUGGCUGAAACUAGUGCUCGUUUGUUUCACACACCAAUCCGGAUCUGGGAUUAGUGGUCCCAAGGCUGUUUAACGCCAUCCAUUAGAAUGUACAGUGAGAGAGAUCAGAAUUCAGCCCACGAUUACCAGCAACUUUGGCAGUCCAAUGGUAGGCCGUCUGCACUUGUGGACAGGAGGUUGUGGGUUCCAGUGGGUUGAAUAAACUUGUAUCACGUUCUUCAAACUCGCUCUCAGGGUCAGCUGAAGGUUAAAACCCACCUUCCAGCCAGACUUGAAUCCUCGACACUGAUUUGUCAAGCCAUGGCAGAAGUCUGUGCAAUAUGUAUAUGUGACCAGGAUAAUAAGUCGCACAAUGCCAAAACACACGUCAUGGCCUGUUCCAUUUGGAGAGGGCAAAAUCUGUAAAAAAAGUGAU
rnacentral:misc_RNA from 1 species